rnacentral:rRNA from 1 species
UACGAGGGGGGCAAAUGUUGUUCGGAAUCACUGGGCGUAAAGGGAGCGUAGGCGGGUUUCUAAGUCAGGUGUUUAAUCCCGGGGCCCAACCCCGGACAGGCACUUGAAACUGGGAAUCUUGAAUAGUGGAGAGGUCAGUGGAAUUGGGGUGUAGCGGUGGAAUGCGUAGAGAUCCCCAAGAACACCAGUUGCGAAGGCGGCUGACUAGACACAUAUUGACGCUGAGGCUCGAAAGCAUGGGGAGCAAACAGG